rnacentral:rRNA from 1 species
ACGCGUGGAACCUUACCAGGUCUUGACAUCCUCUGACACUCCUAGAGAUAGGACGUUCCCCUUCGGGGGACAGAGUGACAGGUGGUGCAUGGUUGUCGUCAGCUCGUGUCGUGAGAUGUUGGGUUAAGUCCCGCAACGAGCGCAACCCUUGAUCUUAGUUGCCAGCAUUUAGUUGGGCACUCUAAGGUGACUGCCGGUGACAAACCGGAGGAAGGUGGGGAUGACGUCAAAUCAUCAUGCCCCUUAUGACCUGGGCUACACACGUGCUACAAUGGAUGGUACAAAGGGCAGCAAAGCGGUGACGCCUAGCAAAUCCCAUAAAACCAUUCUCAGUUCGGAUUGUAGGCUGCAACUCGCCUACAUGAAGCUGGAAUCGCUAGUAAUCGCGGAUCAGCAUGCCGCGGUGAAUACGUUCCCGGGCCUUGCACACACCGCCCGU